CCAAGCACUUGGGCCAUCCUCCGCUGCUUUCCCAGGCCGCAGCAGAGAGCCGGAUCGGAAGUGGAGCAGCCGGGUCUUGAUCUGGCGCCCAUACAGGAUGCCGGCACUGCUGGCGGUGGUGUCACCUGCUCUGCGCAGCGCCGGCCCCGGUCGCGUUUUGAGAGCUUUGUGGCUGUGCCCUGCGGGCGUUGACCUAGUCGCUGCUCUUUCACUGAAGUCCACCUCCCAGCAUGGCCAUCACCUCAGCUGGUGCAUUUUCUGCGCCCGUGACGGAGCCGUCCAGCGGUUUGCUCCCUGGGUCCUUGUUAGCCCAGCGCUAAGGAAGGCCCUUGUCUUCUGGUCGGGCCUGCUGCCUGCAGCCCUGGGCACUCCCGGGAGCCCCGAGGGUUCCCUACAGCGACAACACCUGAGCGGUGUGUCCUCCACCCCGGCCUCGCUCCACUGCGCCCCGUGCCCCGCCCCCUCCUGCACUCCCUCUGCUCCCAGCCUCCUGCACUCUGUCAUCUGAACCCUGACCCUGGGUGAACCCGUCACUGUCCACACCCGAGUCACUCGCCAGGCUGGAAGGCCACUAGUCGACCUCAUGUCCGGGAUUAGCAGCCUGAGCAGGACACUCGGCACUGCCCGCAGUCCCUGUAGGUGUCGAUUUCAGAACUUCCGUCCCGUCUGCCGUAUCCCGCUGCCGUGGAGGGUCGUGCCCACCGCAGCUCACAUGUCGUUAAGAAAUGGUAGCCUUGGGGCCGGCACUGUGGCGCAGCCGGUUAAUACCCUGGCCUGCAGUGCCGGCAUCCCAUAUGGGCGCCGGUUCGAGACCCGGCUGCUCUACUUCUUGUCCAUCUCUGCUGUGGCCUAGGAAGGCAGUGGAAGGUGACUCAAGUCCUUGGGCCCCGCCACCCGCGUAGGAGACCCAGAAGAAGCUCCUGGCUCCUGGCUUCGGAUCGGCGCAGCUCCGGCCGUUGUGGCCCAUUGGGGAGUGAACCAUGAGACGGAAGACCUCUCUGCCUCUCCUCUCUGUAACUCUUUCAAAUAAAUAAAUCUUAAAAAAAAAAAAAAAAGUAGCCAAAAACAAGGAGCCACGUUUUUGCCUGAGCCCUGCCCCGCCUUGAUUCUGCUGCAGUGGGACUGGGCCUGGGCCUCUGGGACGGGUGGGUUCGUGGUGUUCUGAGCCGGAAGAAAAGCGCUGGAGAGAACCCUUGCCGGUAGCAGCCUCGGGGAUGUCGCGCACCGGCUGAAGCCGGCAGUGUCUGCCUCCUCCCUGGUGCCAGAAGCUUGCCCCUUGCUCUCCUGAGGACGUCGUCGGUUUUUGUUCGAUUUUGACUUGGCCUUUUCGGGGGAGGGGCAGACUUGGGGGUCACGCCACAGGAUGUGUUGGCAUCCAGCGUGCUAAGAACCUGUACUGACGA